AGCGUAGACGGAGCAGCAAGUCUGAUGUGAAAGGCGGGGGCUCAACCCCCGGACUGCAUUGGAAACUGUUGAUCUUGAGUACCGGAGAGGUAAGCGGAAUUCCUAGUGUAGCGGUGAAAUGCGUAGAUAUUAGGAGGAACACCAGUGACGAAGGCGGCUUACUGGACGGUAACUGACGUUGAGGCUCGAAAGCGUGGGGAGCAAACA
rnacentral:rRNA from 1 species